CCACACCCACACACCGUGCGUGAGUGCUGUCGCCCUCCCCCUCCCACCCUUACUCGCCUUGUCCUCUGUGACCGCCUCCUUCGCCUCCUCCAUUCUGCACAGUUUCAGCCUCCGUUCACUGUGCUGGUGGUGCCCCGUCAUCACUUCGCUCUCAAUCGCAGACACACACACACACACACACACACACACAGACACGCGCGCUCGCUUGCCCUGCCUCUUUUCUUUCGCAUUUUCCUUUCUGCACAGCACCCUCUUUUGCUGUCUCCCUCUCUCUCUCUUUGGCGUUCUCUUCUCCUCCUCCCGCCCUCCCCGCACUGCACACGCAGACCUGCGAAGACUCUUUCUUUCCUCGGGUCCCUCUUUCACUUCAACUGCUUCUCUUUUCCCAUUCCCAGGAUGAUGCCCAGCGACGCCGUAUCAGCGAGUGCCUCGACGCCAACACCGUUUGUGUACGUGAACGGCGACCGGCUGUCGCUGAUGGAAGAUUACCGCCUUCCCCUGUAUCAGUACUUUCCCGAGGGUACGAAGCUCUUCGACCCAACGCAUGUGCCGCCGCGCGAGGUGCCGCUCUCCACCUCGGCUGAUGAGACAGGUGUCACGCUGCCGAAGCUGCUGCCGAACGCGCAGUACCACGCCUUCUUCAAAGACCCCCGCACCGGGUCCCUCUACGCGACCGCCACCAAGUAUGUCUGCAUCUACGUCUCCCACCUACCCUUCAAUACGACACCCGAGAUGCUGGGCCGCUACUUUGAAACGUUUGACAUGGUGAAGGAGGCAGAUGUGUUUCCGGGCCAAAACGUGAACUGCAACGGUCGCGGCUGGGUUAUCCUGCAGGACCCCAGCAAACUGCUCAUCAUUCCACGUGUACUUCAGUUCUAUGGAAAGCAGUUCAUCUUCACCGAGCUGAGCGAUCGUGAGCCCGCGAGAGAAAAGAUCUACCAUAUGUUGUCGGAGCCGUUGCUGCCGCCGCCGCCCCCGCCGCGCGCCCACAUCAUCCCACACCGCAUCGAUGUCGCUCCGCCGCCACCACCGCUACCGCCGCAACACAACCCAAAUGUUCCAGCGCCGCGCAGCAGCAUCAUGGUGGAGCGGCGUCUUCCACCGGCGGCGCUCACCCCCAUCGGUGGCGGGCUCGAUUAUGACGGACCAACCCUUCCGGCCCCGAGAAGUCAGCAGCGCCUGCAGGCGUCGGCGGUAGUAGCAUCCACCGGGUCCUCGUCCAGCCCCCUUGCAGCAGCGGCAGCCGCGUCGCUGCACGGCAACGGCGCCGCCAAGGCGCAACAGCCGGCAACCUUCAUCACGUACAUCACGGAGAAGGACGCCGAGGACGCCGUGCGAGACGACUACUUCUGGCCGAACCCCGUGUUUGCUGAUGAGAUGCAGAGCUGCAUGGAGGCUCGCGGCUCGGCCUUCGUCGUCUUUCUCCUAUCUAGCCCCCCCACCGUCUUUGGGUACGCGCGAGUGCUGCCAAAGGGGGCGCCCGCGCGGCGGGAGGCGAAGACUUGCCCGAUCGAGUGGGUGCAGCAUCACUGCGCCAUCCCAGAGGCCAACACACGAUCAUUGGACGGGGUGCUGCUCUUUAAGCAGCGCGACGGCUCACGACUGAGGCUGGAGACAGGCGCACAACUGCUCGACCUCAUCAACAGCCAUUGUGGCAAGGCAGAGCAGUAUUUUGUUCCGUCGCCCACCGGGCCAAGCAUCCCACUGCCACGUGGGCGUGGCGGGGUCGUACGCGGCGGUCGUAGCGUUGCUAGGCCGCCACCGCCACCGCCACCGAUCGGCCGUGGCCGAGGCGUCGGUGGCAUGACAACCCCGCCAGCUCCGAUCAGCGAUAGCGGCCUUGCCAUCCCGGUGCCCGCCAGCCGGCGUAAUCAGGCGAACAACAGCAGCAGCAGUGCGAACGGCUCCACGAGUCCGCCAGGCGGCACCGGCAGCGGCAACUCCCGCGAGCGAUCGCCGACAUCGCUGUCCAUCAAGUUACCUGCCCCGGCGUCCGCACGAGCAGCCGCGGUGGCCGUUGCCGUAGGAGCAGUCACAUCUAAUGGAUACGGGAUUGGGGGCAGCAGUAACGGGAACAGCUCCAGCCACGACGGCAGCUCCUCCCCCACGGUCCCCCCGGCACCUCGCUCAAAGAAGUCGUACGCCCAUUGAAGAGGUUUCUUGACUUGGCUAGCGUAGUGAGCCUACAGAGAGUCGAGAUAGACCAGGAUCGUGACAGUGGCGUCGUGUCGCAGCGGUCUCUUUUUAUGCGCUGCCCUUUCAGUGCCCGGUUCCAUCUGCCUCAUCCAUCUGAGUGCUGUUUGUACGGACGCGUCUGUGUCCCGCGGAUGGUGUGUGCGGCCUGUAGCGUGUGAUGGCCAUGGCGCCACGCACCCCAGAGCGCGCGCGCACACACACACGCGGUGUAAUCACCUCACCGUUACAAGGGGACAAGGCGCGCGCCACUCUUCGCGUCUCCCUUUCCCACUUUCCAUCCCUGUCCUAGCCGACAGCACGUCUCCCCCUCCCCAUGUCCCGGAAAUCGCCCGCCAUUCAUGCCCAGCGCUUUUCGCAUCUCUAAUAUCAUCACAGUACGUUUAGUUGUUUGUUGUGCCGUCUCUUUAAUCCCCACUCCCCGUGCGAGUGCUGUGUUGUGUGGUUGCUUUCGCUUUUUUUUGAGUGCUCUUUUCUCUGUCUUCCUGUGUACGUAUGUUCCUACGCGUGCGUGUGUGUGUGUGUGUGUGCCCUCCGCUUCUCGCUCGCUCUCACCGCACUUGUGUCUGUACCUCUUCCUUCUUCGACGCCUCAUGCUUACUUUUCGCCAGGGAAACUCUCCGGCGUUCCUGGACACCCCGAAGCAGGGCAGAGGUGUGCGUUUUGCGUAUCUUCGCGUAUCUUUCAGUGCCUGCGUGGCUGUGACGGUUCCCGCGUGGUUGCACGUGUGUCCUUGAGCGGUUUCAUCCGUUCUUCCCCUCCCCUACAAUACACACACACGCAUACACACACCAGCGCAGGGCCGCAAUUACUCACGUGCGGGUACGAGGCGCUCCCCUUCUCCCUCUCUUCCUUUCUGUUUACUAAAGCGGUGGCCAUUAAAAGGGAAAAUAAGAGCAGCCGAACAGAGGCAUCACAUCACCGAACACACCACACGCACACACACACACACACGUGCGUGCGUAACACGUUAAAG
rnacentral:misc_RNA from 1 species